rnacentral:lncRNA from 1 species
GCUCUUACCCACUGAGUCAUCUCACCAGCCCCCCUCUUUUUUUUUAAAUGUUUAUUAUUAUUCAUAAGUACACUGUAGCUGACUUCAGACGUGCCAGAAGAGGGCAUCAGAUUUCAUUAUGGGUGGUUGUGAUAUCACCAAUUAUUGAAAAUUUGUAACAGUUAUUUGGUUUGAUUUUAUAUGUGACUGACAUGAGAACUUUGUGCCUUGUAGAAGCGUUGUCUCUUUUUUUACAAAUAAUUUAUUUACUUUUAUUUCAUGUACAUUGGUGUUUUGUUUGCAUGUGUGUCUGUGUCAGGUUUCAAGUCACUUGGAGCCUGAUUAUAGACAGUUGUGAGCUGCCAUGUUGUUGUUACUGUUGGGUUGCUGUUCAUCACCAAAGGAAGUCAGGACUGGAACUCAAGCAGGUCAGGAAGCAGGAGCUGAUGCAGAGCCAUGGAGGGAUGUUCCUUACUGGCUUGCUUCCCCUGGCUAGCUCAGCUUGUUUUCUUAUACUACCAGUCCAGGGAUGGCACUACCCACAAUGGACCUUCCCCCUUGAUCACUAAUUGAGAAAAUGCCUUACAGCUGAAUCUCAUGAAGGCAUUUCUUCAACUUAAGAUCCUUUCUAUAUGAUAACUCCAGCUUGUGUUAAGUUGACACACAGAACCAGCCAGUAUACCCAGUGUCCCCGUUUACAUUCAGAAAUUUACAAAUGAUGUAAUCUUUCCAAGUUUUCUGGGAGAUUGUUUGGUAAAUGUGUGUAUGUAAAACCUGUAUCCCUGUAUUGCAUCCCUGGCUGACCUAAGGCUAUCUGUCUCUGCUUUCUAAGUAUUGUGAUUAAAGGCUGUCUGUCUGUCUGUCUCUGCUUUCUAAGUAUUGGGAUUAAAGGCUGUCUGUCUGUCUGUCUCUGCUUUCUAAGUAUUGGGAUUAAAGGCAUGUGGUACUACACCUGGCUGAGAAUAGUAUUUCUUGACAUACAGGUUAUAUCCUUAACUAAAUUUCUUUAGGUUGGCAUGUUUAUGGCCUUCUUCAAAGGUCAGACAAGAAGUAUGAUGAAGCCAUUAAGUGCUACAGAAAUGCACUGAAAUGGGAUAAAGACAAUCUUCAGAUCUUAAGAGAUCUUUCCUUACUGCAGAUUCAAAUGCGAGAUCUUGAGGGCUAUAGGGUAAGUAAAAGAAGUUUUUUAUUUUUAUCGUAAGAGAAAAAUCUUGUUACUCAGAAUAUUGAAUAUAUUCUGAAUAGAAAAAUAUUUUUCUCUAUUUUUUUGACUGCCCCUUAGUGAUUACAUCUGUGAUUGGAACAGAUUUUUAAAACAGAACAUUUUGUUGAGAGAGAGAGUUGGAGCAAUGUGUAGAAUUGUUAAAAAAAUAUUGUUAAGUUUUUGUUAAAAAUCACUUUAUUAAAAAUUAAUACUCUGGUAGAAUAACUAUAGUCUUUUGUCAUUUUCAUUAAAGUAAGUUUUUAAAUUUUUGUUUGACUUUAUAUUCAUUGAUUUUAUAUAUAUAUGUAUAUAUAUGCAUAUAUAUGUAUAUAUGCAUGUAUAUAAUAUAUAUAUAUAUAUAUAUAUAUAUAGUUCAGUAGUGUCCAUUUAACCCUUAAAAGUAUUUUUCUGCCUCUACAGCUAUAUAAUAUUUGAUGUUGAAGUUUUUCUAAAAUAGUCACCUGCAUGUAUUACAGCGUGAAUAACUGUGAAGCAGAGUAAUGUGAUCUUCUGUUUUCUUAGGACCCUGAGGGCUGAACCCAGGGCCUCCUGUUCUAGUCAAUAGAGGGGCAUUUGCUUUGUGAACCUAAGAUAAGUCUUGUUUUUCCCACACUGUGAAGGAAACAAGAUACCAGUUGCUUCAGCUUCGGCCUGCACAGAGAGCAUCAUGGAUUGGUUAUGCUAUUGCUUACCAUUUAUUAGAAGACUAUGAAAUGGCAGCAAAAAUUUUAGAAGAGUUUAGGAAAACACAGCAGGUAAUGACAAAACAGUUUAUUGUGUCUGAUUCUAAGAAUGACUGAAAGAAAGAAGUUUACAUACAUACCUGAAAAUCUCUGUGGUUAAUAUCGAUGGGCUUGCUUUCUGUUUCUUACGAGAUUGCACACAUGCUCUUUUAUGUCCUGUGCUCCUGAGAACUGCUCUAGUUGUUACUACUGAUGGUGCUAUCUAUCACGGAGUAUCAAGAUUAGACUGACUCUAACUUGUAGAUAGUAUAAGAUAGUGUUGUAGAUUGUCUUAGUUCUUUUUCUUUCUAACAGUCUUUCCUGAUUCCAUUGUUUGGUUUUGAAGCAUGCCUAUCACCUAGUAAUCAUUCCUCUGGGAGUCUAUAUCGGAAGCAAUUUUAAAGCGUUUGGAUUUUCUUUCUUUAUUAUUUUGCUGUGCAGUAAUGCUUUUGGACUGUUCCUGAGUGUGGAUCUGUUUGCUUUUCCUAAUUAUUAGUUAAAGGUGUACUUUUGACAGAAAUCCACAGACUGAUUGAUUCAGGUCAGCACAUCAUUUGGCACACAAUUUGCAUGAUCCAUUUACUACUUUAUUGGGUGGUAUUUGUAGCUGUGAACUGGUUGUUUUGCUUUUUAUUUAUAAACAACCAAAGACCAACCAGCUCAUCUGUCAGCAGAUUUUACCACUGGCCUUUAGUAUUCAUUGUCUGGCUCAGCUGUUACAAUGACAGCUGUGAAGUCCAAUUCUCUGGCUCCACAAGUUUCCCUAGAUUUCUUAUUUGCAUUCUGCUGCUAGCAGUUUCCUUCCUUCCAUUUACUUAUUGCUGAUACUGCUGUUACUUAUUUAACAUUUCCUAAACAUAUUUAGGAGUUUAAAAAUUAUUGCUAUCAGUUGAGGGUGUGUAAAUAGUUUUCUGAUACAAAAAUAAGAUUCUCAUUGGCAUUCCUUGUGUCUUUGUGCAGACAUCUCCUGAUAAAGUGGAUUAUGAAUAUAGUGAACUCCUCUUAUAUCAGAAUCAAGUUCUUCGGGAAGCAGGUCUUUAUAGAGAAGCCCUGG